AAGUGUUACCGCUCUUUUAAGAUUUGUCUAGCAGGUUUUCUGGUUGCCACCAGAAAGCACCCAC